UACGAACGCUGGCGGCGCGCUUAACACAUGCAAGUCGAGCGGUAAGGCUCCUUCGGGAGUACACGAGCGGCGAACGGGUGAGUAACACGUGAGUAAUCUGCCCUUCACUUCGGGAUAACCACCGGAAACGGUGGCUAAUACCGAAUACGACCAGUCUUCGCAUGAGGUGCUGGUGGAAAGUCUUUUCGGUGAAGGAUGUGCUCGCGGCCUAUCAGCUUGUUGGUGGGGUAAUGGCCUACCAAGGCUUCGACGGGUAGCCGGCCUGAGAGGGUGACCGGCCACACUGGGACUGAGACACGGCCCAGACUCCUACGGGAGGCAGCAGUGGGGAAUAUUGGACAAUGGGCGAAAGCCUGAUCCAGCAACGCCGCGUGAGGGAUGACGGCCGUCGGGUUGUAAACCUCUUUCAGUACCGACGAAGCGCCCUGUCGGGUGGUGACGGUAGGUACAGAAGAAGGACCGGCCAACUACGUG
rnacentral:rRNA from 1 species